CGGGAUGUGGCGCAGUCUGGUAGCGCACAAGUCUGGGGGACUUGGGGUCGCUGGUUCGAAUCCAGUCAUCCCGACCA
rnacentral:tRNA from 1 species